rnacentral:tmRNA from 1 species
GGGGAUGCUAGGCAUCGACGGUUAGCCCACCCAUGUUGUGCAGUGUUGAAAAUGGCAACCAAUUCAUUAAAAGGUUCCAUCCGUAUUUGCAAACAAAGCAAUACCAAGUCCUUACGCUAACGCGUUCGGAUUCGCUCCCGCUCUCGCCUAACCGCGACUUUGCCGGAACGAUGCGACAGUGUUAAACGCCUCAUACGGCACUGUUCGUAGAAUAGCCACGGGGCUGUGGGAAGAUAUGUGUUGCCGUAUCUUUUCAAGCUUGUAGCAACUCGAGUAAUUAUUGUUUUGUCUUUCCUAUAGAUAAUUACUUUAAAUCAAAGGAGAAACUACACACUGUAGACUCACCAUGAGUACCUAAUUCGGACGCGGGUUCAAUUCUCGCCAUCUCCACCA